rnacentral:rRNA from 1 species
GUCUACAGCAUACCAUCCUGAAUACACCCGAUCUCGUCUGGUCUCAGAAGCUAAGCUGGGUUGGGCCUGGUUAGUACUUGGAUGGGAGAAAGAUCUUCAGAGGAGACUGCUCAAGAGACAAGCAUUUGGAGACA